CGGAAGAAGCAUUGUUAAGGAAUUCGGCAAAAUGACCCCGUAACUUCGGGAGAAGGGGUGCCUGCGAGAGCAGGCCGCAGAGAAUAGGCUCAAGCAACUGUUUAGCAAAAACACAGGUCUAUGCGAAACCGAAAGGUGAAGUAUAUGGGCUGACGCCUGCCCGGUGCUGGAAGGUUAAGAGGAGAGGUUAGCGAAAGCGAAGCUUUGAAUUUAAGCCCCAGUAAACGGCGGCCGUAACUAUAACGGUCCUAAGGUAGCGAAAUUCCUUGUCGGGUAAGUUCCGACCCGCACGAAAGGCGUAAUGAUUUGAGCACUGUCUCGACAAUGCAUCCGGUGAAAUUGAAGUACCAGUGAAGAUGCUGGUUACCCGCGCCAGGACGGAAAGACCCCAUGGAGCUUUACUCCAGUUUGAUACUGGGAUUCGGUACUGCAUGUACAGGAUAGGUGGGAGACGAAGAAGGAUGGACGCCAGUCUGUCCGGAGUCGCUGUUGGGAUACCACCCCUGUAGUACUGGGUUUCUAACCAGUUGCCAUGAACUGGCAAUGGGACAAUGUCAGGCGGGGAGUUUGACUGGGGCGGUCGCCUCCGAAAGGGUAUCGGAGGCGCUCAAAGGUUCCCUCAGAAUGGUUGGAAACCAUUUGAAGAGUGCAAAGGCAGAAGGGAGCUUGACUGCGACACCGACGGGUGGAGCAGGUACGAAAGUAGGACUUAGUGAUCCGGUGGUAUAAAGUGGGAUUGCCAUCGCUCAACGGAUAAAAGCUACCCUGGGGAUAACAGGCUUAUCACUCCCAAGAGUUCACAUCGACGGAGUGGUUUGGCACCUCGAUGUCGGCUCAUCGCAUCCUGGGGCUGUAGCAGGUCCCAAGGGUUGGGCUGUUCGCCCAUUAAAGCGGUACGCGAGCUGGGUUCAGAACGUCGUGAGACAGUUCGGUCCCUAUCCGGCGCGGGCGGAGGAUAUUUGAGAGGAGCUGUCCUUAGUACGAGAGGACCGGGAUGGACGGACCACUGGUGUAUCUGUUGUCGACCAACGGCAUGGCAGAGUAGCCAAGUCUGGAAGGGAUAAACGCUGAAGGCAUCUAAGCGUGAAGCCCCCCUCAAGAUGAGAUAUCCCUCCUUCGGGAGUAAGACCCCUUGAAGACUACAAGGUAGAUAGGGCAGAGGUGGAAGCAUGGCAACAUGUGGAGCUGACUGUUACUAAUAGGUCGAGGGCUUAAUCUG
rnacentral:rRNA from 1 species